GGGGGGGGGGACGGCGACAUGAAGAGCUACGGGGCAGGAGAGAGAGGGUCACCCCCCCCAAUCUGGGGGUUGGGAUCCCCAGUACAGUGUCGCUUCGGGGCUGCAGCUCUGAAGUUUGGGACGGCUUUUGAGGUUGGACGCACAAAGUUUGGGGUAAAGACCACCCCCCUUCCCACCCCCCAUACAAAUACACGAGGCAGAGGUGCAGAACUGAACCCCCACAGCAUUUAUUGGGGUCUGCCCCCCCGGCCCCCCCAAAGCCCCUCCUCCAACACCACCACACCAUUUAAGAGAAAAUCACGUUUUCCUUCAAAAUCCCCCAUUUAACCCGAAAAUCACGCGUUUUCUCUUUGAGAAUCCCCCAUUUAACCCGAAAAUCACGCGUUUUCUCUUCGAGAAUCCCCCAUUUAAGCGAAAAUCACGCGUUUUCUCUUCGGAGAAUCCCCCAUUUAACCCGAAAAUCACGCGUUUUCUCUUCGAGAAUCCCCCAUUUAAGCGAAAAUCACGCGUUUUCUCUUUGAGAAUCCCCCAUUUAACCCGAAAAUCACGCGUUUUCUCUUUGCAAAUCCCCCAUUUAAGCGAAAAUCACGCGUUUUCUCUUCGAAAAUCCCCCAUUUAAGCGAAAAUCACGUGUUUUCUCUUCGAGAAUCCCCCAUUUAACCCGAAAAUCACGCGUUUUCUCUUCGAAAAUCCCCCAUUUAACCCGAAAAUCACGCGUUUUCUCUUCGAAAUCCCCCAUUUAAGCGAAAAUCACGCGUUUUCUCUUCGAGAAUCCCCCAUUUAAGCGAAAAUCACGCGUUUUCUCUUCGAGAAUCCCCCAUUUAACCCGAAAAUCACGCGUUUUCUCUUCGCAAAUCCCCCAUUUAAGCCAAAAUCACGCGUUUUCUCUUCGCAAAUCCCCCAUUUAACCCGAAAAUCACGCGUUUUCUCUUCGAGAAUCCCCCAUUUAACGAAAAUCACGCGUUUUCUCUUUGAAAUCCCCCAUUUAACCCGAAAAUCACGCGUUUUCUCUUCGCAAAUCCCCCAUUUAAGCGAAAAUCACGCGUUUUCUCUUCGAGAAUCCCCCAUUUAACCCGAAAAUCACGCGUUUUCUCUUCGCAAAUCCCCCAUUUAACCGAAAAUCACGCGUUUUCUCUUCGCAAAUCCCCCAUUUAACCGAAAAUCACGCGUUUUCUCUUCGAGAAUCCCCCAUUUAAGCCAAAAUCACGCGUUUUCUCUUCGCAAAUCCCCCAUUUAACGAAAA
ensembl:lncRNA